rnacentral:tRNA from 1 species
GAAAAAUAAGCUAAUUUAAGCUUUUGGAUUCAUAAUUCAACAAUAGAUUUAAAUCUUUUUUCUA